UUUAAACUUCAGCUCAUAUCCCAAGCAGGACUAACACUGGGGGUUGCUGAUAGGAGGAGAAGAGAUUGGGAAAUGGAGGUAGUUAGAGAGAGAGGAACUUUGUUCAAUAUCGUCACUUUUUGCGGGAAAGGAGUAAGUGGGGGAAAAUGCAUCCUCAGCUGAUCCACAGAGAAGACCAACUGUCUUCCCUCCUGAUUACUGACAUUCUCAUCCAUGGGUAAACACAGAAAAGGAAACAAAAGCAGAAAGGUUUCUUGUCAGCAAUUCCAGUAAGAUGUUUCUCCAGCCAGAGACGAGCCUAGAGCCAGCACACUUCAAAGACAAUACAAUCGCCUGUCAGCUGCAGAAUUUCUCCUGGUCCAAGGUGUGUCUGAAUAACAGCUGUGCUGGUGCCUACUGGAGGACAGAAACAUGGCAAAGAGUAAGGGGAAGUGAUGAUAUAGAAUGUGUAAGGUGGGAAUUCAGGAAACAAUGACAGCAAAAGUGAUUUGAGAAACAAAGCCAAAGGAAAAGCUUCUGUCUUGCUAGUGGAUGCUGUCUGUUGCCUUCCUGGUUUGUGUGCUUUGAUGAAGCAAGUGGCUGUGUUGCAGAGGUCCACUUGGCAAGGGGAUGAAAGUGGCCUUUGGCCAACAGCCAGCAAGGAGCUAAGGCCCUUUAUCCAACAACCCUUGAAGAACUGAAAUCUUCUAACAACCACAUGAGCUUGGAAAUGGAUCCCCGCCUUGACCCUUCAGAUGCGACCCCAGCCCUGGCCAGCGCCUCGAUUGCCACCUUGUGAGAGAUCCUGAAGGAUGGAUCCAGCUAAGCCAUGACCAGGUGGCUGCCCCAA
rnacentral:lncRNA from 10 species